CGGCAACAGCAUAACACCAGGAGCCAACGUUUCGACAAGUGGACUUGCAUUUUUCAAGGUGACAUAUGCUC
rnacentral:lncRNA from 1 species